UGGAGCCGGCAUCCUCGGCGCGCGCAGGCAGCGGCGUCAUGGGACGCGCGUGGGUGGUCUCUCGCCUGCCCCGUUAUAACGCCCGUCGUUUCUAACCCCGCCCCCCUCCCGUUACCUCCUCAGCUGCCGAAUCAAAGUGCGGCGUUUUUACAGACGGGCUCCUUGGAGGUUUUUCCCAAGCUGGAUUUUCUGGCUAGACUACAUCUCCAGUAAUGCUCAAUGGAUAUCGAUUCUUACAGUGCAUUCCUCCCUUCAGCAGAGAGAGUGAUAGAAGCUCCUUGAAAGAAUGGACCCUUUAAGUACCCAGAACUGAGAUAAAAGUCCCUAAAAACAUUGCUGUUUGGGAAGGCUCAUCAAUGCAAGAGAGAGAAGGAGAUGCCCGUAACAGAAAGCA